UNUGACUUGAGUGCAGAAGGGGAGAGUGGAAUUCCAUGUGUAGCGGUGAAAUGCGUAGAUAUAUGGAGGAACACCAGUGGCGAAAGCGGCUCUNUGGUCUGUCACUGACGCUGAGGCUCGAAAGCGUGGGUAGCGAACAGGAUUAGAUACCCUGGUAGUNCACGCCGUAAACGAUGAGUGCUAGGUGUUAGGCCCUUUCCGGGGCUUAGUGCCGGAGCUAACGCAAUAAGCACUCCGCCUGGGGAGUACGACCGCAAGGUUGAAACUCAAAGGAAUUGACGGGGGCCCGCUCAAGCGGUGGAGCAUGUGGUUUAAUUCGAAGCAACGCGGAGAACCUUACCAGGUCUUGACAUCCCGAUGCUAUUCUUAGAGAUAGGAAGUUACUUCGGUACAUCGGAGACAGGUGGUGCAUGGUUGUCGUCAGCUCGUGUCGUGAGAUGUUGGGUUAAGUCCCGCAACGAGCGCAACCCUUAUUGUUAGUUGCCAUCAUUAAGUUGGGCACUCUAGCGAGACUGCCGGUAAUAAACCGGAGGAAGGUGGGGAUGACGUCAAAUCAUCAUGCCCCUUGUGACCUGGGCUACACACGUGCUACAAUGGUCGGUACGACGAGUUGCGAGCCGGUGACGGCAAGCUAAUCUCUGAAAGCCGAUCUCAGUUCGGAUUGGAGGCUGCAACUCGCCUCCAUGAAGUCGGAAUCGCUAGUAAUCGCGGAUCAGCACGCCGCGGUGAAUACGUUCCCGGGCCUUGUACACACCGCCCGUCACACCACGAGAGUUUGUAACACCCGAAGUCGGUGAGGUAACCUUUUAGGGGCCAGCC
rnacentral:rRNA from 1 species